rnacentral:tRNA from 1 species
UAUAUUUUAGUAUAUGAUGUACAUGAGUUUUUGAUAUUCAAUGAGAUAGUUUAAUUCUGUUUAAUAUAA